rnacentral:rRNA from 1 species
UACAGAGGUCCCAAGCGUUGUUCGGAUUCAUUGGGCGUAAAGGGUGCGUAGGCGGCGCGGUAAGUCGGGUGUGAAAUCUCGGAGCUUAACUCCGAAACUGCAUUCGAUACUGCCGUGCUUGAGGACUGGAGAGGAGACUGGAAUUUACGGUGUAGCGGUGAAAUGCGUAGAUAUCGUAAGGAAGACCAGUGGCGAAGGCGGGUCUCUGGACAGUCCUGACGCUGAGGCACGAAGGCCAGGGGAGCAAACGGG